rnacentral:rRNA from 1 species
UUGGAGGGCAAGUCUGGUGCCGGCAGCCGCGGUAAUUCCAGCUCCAAUAGCGUAUAUUAAAGUUGUUGCAGUUAAAAAGCUCGUAGUUGAAUUUCGGGAUUCUUCCGUUGGUCAGGCUAACAAGUCUGUACUAGCGUGUAGAAUCUCUACCUUCUGGGGAACCAUCAUGUUAUUAAUUUAGCGUGGUGGGAAACCAGGACCUUUACCUUGAAAAAAUUAGAGUGUUCAAAGCAGGCUUACGUCUGAAUACAUUAGCAUGGAAUAAUAAAAUAGGACGGUGGUCCUGUUUUGUUGGUUUCUGAAUCACCGUAAUGAUUAAUAGGGAUAGUUGGGGGCAUUAGUAUUCAAUUGUCAGAGGUGAAAUUCUUGGAUUUAUUGAAGACUAACUUCUGCGAAAGCAUUUGCCAAGGACGUUUUCAUUAAUCAAGAACGAAAGUUAGGGGAUCGAAGACGAUCAGAUACCGUCGUAGUCUUAACCAUAAACUAUGCCGACUAGGGAUCGGACGAUGUUAAAUUUUAUUGACUCGUUCGGCGCCUUACGGGAAAC